UAGGGAAUCUUCCACAAUGGACGCAAGUCUGAUGGAGCAACGCCGCGUGAGUGAAGAAGGUUUUCGGAUCGUAAAGCUCUGUUGUUGGUGAAGAAGGAUAGAGGCAGUAACUGGUCUUUAUUUGACGGUAUCAACCAGAAAGUCACGGCUAACUACGUGCCAGCAGCCGCGGUAAUACGUAGGUGGCAAGCGUUGUCCGGAUUUAUUGGGCGUAAAGCGAGCGCAGGCGGAAUGAUAAGUCUGAUGUGAAAGCCCACGGCUCAACCGGGGAACUGCAUCGGAAACUGUCAUUCUUGAGUGCAGAAGAGGAGAGUGGAAUUCCAUGUGUAGCGGUGGAAUGCGUAGAUAUAUGGAAGAACACCAGUGGCGAAGGCGGCUCUCUGGUCUGCAACUGACGCUGAGGCUCGAAAGCAUGGGUAGCGAACAGG
rnacentral:rRNA from 1 species